rnacentral:rRNA from 1 species
AACGAACGCUGGCGGCAGGCCUAACACAUGCAAGUCGAGCGCGCCUUCGGGUGAGCGGCGGACGGGUUAGUAACGCGUGGGAAUAUGCCCGGUACUAAGGAAUAGCCACUGGAAACGGUGAGUAAUACCUUAUACGCCCUUCGGGGAAAGAUUUAUCGGUAUCGGAUUAGCCCGCGUUAGAUUAGGUAGUUGGUGGGGUAAUGGCCUACCAAGCCUACGAUCUAUAGCUGGUUUUAGAGGAUGAUCAGCAACACUGGGACUGAGACACGGCCCAGACUCCUACGGGAGGCAGCAGUGGGGAAUCUUGGACAAUGGGCGCAAGCCUGAUGCAGCAACGCCGCGUGAACGAAGAAGGCUUUUCGGGUCGUAAAGUUCUUUUCUUAGGGAAAAAGAUGACGGUACCUAAGGAAUAAGCACCGGCUAAUACGUGCCAGCAGCCGCGGU